GACGAACGCUGGCGGCGCGCUUAACACAUGCAAGUCGAACGGAAAGGCCUGCUUUCCCUUGUGGAUUGCGGGUACUCGAGUGGCGGACGGGUGAGUAACACGUGAGUGAUCUGCCCCCAACUUGGGUAUAAGCCUGGGAAACUGGGUCUAAUUCCCGAUAGGACUGCAGGGUGGUGCCUGUGGUGGAAAACGAUUUUCUAGUGGUUGGGGAUGAGCUCGCGGCCUAUCAGCUUGUUGGUGGGGUAAUGGCCUACCAAGGCGGCGACGGGUAGCCGGCCUGGGAGGGUGGACGGCCACAUUGGGACUGAGAUACGGCCCAGACUCCUACGGGAGGCAGCAGUGGAGAAUAUUGCACAAUGGGCGGAAGCCUGAUGCAGCGACGCCGCGUGGGGGAUGACGGCCUUCGGGUUGUAAACUCCUUUCGACCGCGAGGAAGCCACCUGGUUGGAAGGGUGGUGACGGUAGUGGUAGAAGAAGCACCGGCUAACUACGUG
rnacentral:rRNA from 1 species